AUACGAAAGGUGCAAGCGUUGUUCGGAUUUACUGGGCGUAAAGAGAGUGUAGGUGGUUUAUUAAGUCGGAUGUGAAAUCCCGGGGCUCAGCCUCGGAACUGCAUUCGAUACUGAUAGGCUAGAGUUUGGGAGGGGUAAGCGGAAUUCCGUGUGUAGCAGUGAAAUGCGUAGAUAUACGGAGGAACACCUGAGGCGAAGGCGGCUUACUGGACCGAUACUGACACUGAGACUCGAAAGCGUGGGUAGCAAACAGGAUUAGAAACCCUAGUAGUCC
rnacentral:rRNA from 1 species